rnacentral:lncRNA from 1 species
CCUCAAGACCAAAUAUCAACAGUACAAAAGCAGAGUCCCGUCCCUGCAAUGAAGCCGUCACAAGAAGGAGAUGUUAACGUCCAUCAAGGAGAAGAACCAAGAGAGGAAACUCCACAAGGUGCGGAGAAGGUACAAACUUGGCUUAUCAUUUUCAAAAUGUGAAUUGGUUUUGUUUCUUAACAACUAAAAAAUCUUGAUUUGUUGGAAUUGAAGCCAGAAGACCUUGUGAUGAGAGAGCUGAUGCAACAAAAACAACAACAACAAGAAGAAGAUUCAAUGAUAGGUGAGUAUGAAAAGAUUGAGGCGUCUCACAAAUAUAACAUGGAAGAAGAAGAGAUGGAUGAAGAACUAGACGAGGAUGAGAAAUCCGCGGCUUAUGAGAUUGCAUUUCAGAGCCCUGCAAACAGAGGAGGUAAUGGCCACUCUGAGCCACCUUUCUUGACAAUGGUUCAGUAAAUCAGAAUCACUGUUCUACAAAUUAUACCCUUGUACCAAGAAAAUGUACUUAUGUGUGCAUAGCUUCUAAACAACACCAAAAACCUCAAAAAACACACACACAUCUGACCCAAGAAACUGAAAAUCAAGGUCUCAUCAAUCUUGAUUUUCCAGUGAAUACAAUUCUUUCUUUCACAUUAUUUCCCUUGUUCCUUUUCUUUCUCAGUCUCUUGUUUGUUUCUCUGUUCAUUGUUUUCUUCUUCAGCACACCCCCCUCCCCCCCACCCACCCACAUAAACAAAAACUCUAGCUAAAGGUCUUUUAGUUUAUUUGGAGUUGUAAUUCAUCAGCAAGUCUCAUACUUUUUCUCUUCUUAAAACAUUUGUUGAUUGGUUAAUUGGGGAAUAAAAGAGUCUUUUUAUUCCUUGAGGAAGACUCAAGAAAAGAAACAUACUGUAAAUCUUUAUUUCUUUAUGAGGUUUUCAAGAACUUUACUUAAGUAUUUCUGCUUCGAACUACUAUACGAGAAAGAUUGGCUUAUUCAUAUUCACUUUGCUUCUGUUCAUUUUUUACUGAGAAGAGACUCACUCAAAACUAUAGUUUGAGCGAGAGGAGAAUAGAAGAAAGAAUCCGUGUUUUAUGUUUUAUCCUUUUUAUGCGGCGCCCACAAAGACACAAUCCGAUAAGCCAUUAUUCAUUUGUGUCACGAUCAGUUAAAUAGAGUCACUCAAAGUUUUGUUCGUUUGUUUCAACUUUCUUGUUUUUUAAAAUUUAUUUUCCUUAUAAUCAAAAGCAUGUGCAGCUUUUGUACUUACAACGACAAGACUCGUCCCACUCUCAUUGUUCAUCUCCUGUCUUGUUUUUUUGCUUUUUAAUACCUUCAAAAACUGUUUUAGAAUAUAUUACAUUUACUGCAAAACUAUACUCGUCUGUAAAAGAAAAAACACAAAUCACAGAAAAAUAUAUAAGCUGGUUAUUUGAACGGAGAGAAUAUACAAAUAUGGAAUGAGACAGCAAGAUCAAACCAAGAAAAGAUUUAAUAAAAAAUGGAAGAACAGAGAAAAGAUUCUGUAUCUUUUUGAUAGGGAGAGUAAUAAUGGAGGAAAUGGGUACAGGUAAGAAAGAGUAUCUACCACUUUCAUUGCCAACUUGCUUUCACCUCUUUGUGUCUACUAACACAGCUGCCCCAACGUGCAAUCAUUUUAUAUAUAAAUGUAUGUAUUAUGUAUGUAUGUAUCUAAUUAUACAUAUAUAACAAUGUAAUGCUAGUGUAUAAAAUACCCAACGAGCCUGUCCUACCCAUGUGCUUUGUUGUUUUAUUAAUUAAUUAAACUUCAUAUAUAUCUUAUUUUUUAAUUACGUAUGUUUAGGGUAAUACACUAAUACGUACGAAAACAACUCAACAUGUAAUCAACAAUGUCACAUGUUGAUCCCACCAUAAACUCAAAAGUUUAAUAUCUGUUUUUAGGUCAUGCACUCACAUGUAGUUUCCUUUUUGAUUAGGCUUCGCUUCUCCUUUCUUGCCUACAAAGUUACAAACCAUAACGCUCUCCUUGUUCUGUAACUUUCUCUUCGGAUGAAAAAUCUAAUUAUAUCUCCAACCUGUCGUCAUCGGUAACUUAAGGGGUACUAGUUGAGCAUUAAAAAAAGAGAGUUUUCAGAUUUCAAAAGAAAAAGAGUUUCCAAGAUUACGAGUUAGAGUACCGUCGACGUUAAGAAUACUAAAUAACAACUUAAACAUACCCUUUGUUGAUGAAAAAUAUAAAAAUAUCAUUAAUAUACAAUUCAUGUCUCGCAUAUAACUUUUGGAAUUUGGUUUGGGUAUUUCGGAUUAUGUGUUUUCAAUUUGCACGAUAAGAAGUGUAAACCCAUUCCAGUAUUUCUAAAUUUUGAUUGUUUUCGGUUUAGAUUUUUUGGUUUGAAGUCGGAUUUGGGUGCACAUUCUUUCAGUUUUUGAAUCGAUUCAGAUUUUUAUAAGAAAACUAUUUGUAUAUUCAAAAUUAUCUAUGAUCAAAUACCCAAAAUAAAUAUGAAAUCUAUUUGAGUUAUUUUGAUUUUCAAUACUCAUUUGAGAUACUAGGACAUGGUCUUAGAUUUUUGCCCCAGCCUCUCACUUCGUUCGUUGUUCGCUCUGUAUCGUCGCGAAGAAACCCGAUGGGCCCGACUUUCCCGAAUGUCGUUCACCACCAAGUUUUUGAGUAUUUUCAAAAAUCUUGGUCGGGUUCGUUUAUAUUAUCUGAUACCCAAAUUAUCACUUACAAGAUUCAUUUGACUAUUUUUAUAGAUCAAAUCGGUUUAGAUUUAAAUUAUCGAAUCAAACUCAGUUCGGAUAUAAAGUUUUAUUAUAAACGUCUAUUGUGAAACUUAACCAGGAAGCUACCGUUUUCAAACAAGUGUAAAGUUCAAAACAGAAACACAAAGAUACAUAUCUUUCAGCCACCAUCUUUUGAGAAUGUGAUAAUUAGAAACCCAACAAAUUGAAACAGUGUGAAGGUGUGUGAGAGAUAGAUCCAGACUAGGAGUUAACCGAUAAUUCUAAGAAUGGUGAAACUAGCCUAGAAAGAGAUUACUGAGGAAGAAGAAUCACCUCGAAGGUACUAGAUCCUUGAUGAGAUAGAGCAGAGAGUUUUAGAGGUUUAUGAGAUGAAAUAUUUCUGAUUGAUUAUUCUUCUGCCAUUGCAGGGAUUACAUAUAGUAAAAGACAAAGGUAUCUUAACGGUUUAAAACACGUGACCGGUGCUGACUGGAAAGCAAAAGCAUAAAGCAGGAAAUGAGAUAAGCAUAAAGAAGGAUAUUCCUUGGCGAUAAGGUUGUCAUGGGUGACUCAUCCUAUGACAAUACUCCCUCCUUCAGAUCAAUCUUGUCCUUAAGGAUUGAACAAAGGAUACUUGGCAGCGAAGUCUUUGUAGAAUUCCCAAGUGGCGGUAGCAGGUGUUUCUCCUUUCCAAUGAACCAGAACUUUCGUUGCAGCAGCAUUAUGGCGUUUAACCGUUUUUG